GACGAACGCUGGCGGCGUGCUUAACACAUGCAAGUCGAACGGAAAGGCCCUGCUUGCAGGGUGCGCGAGUGGCGAACGGGUGAGUAACACGUGGGUGAUCUGCCCCUUACUUUGGGAUAAGCCUGGGAAACUGGGUCUAAUACUGGAUAGGACCAUGCUGUAGGAGUAGUGGUGGAUCGAUUAGUUUCGGUAAGGAGUGAGCUCGCGGCCUGUCAGCUUGGUGGUGGGGGAAUGGGCUACCAAGGCGUGGGCGGGUAGCCGGCCCGCCCGGGAGGACGGCCCCAUUCGGACUGGGCUACGACCCAGGGUACUACUAGGGGCUGCAGUGGGGUGGAGUGCACACUGGGCGCGCGCCUGAGGGUGCGACGCCGCGUGGGGGUUGACGGCCUUCGGGUUGUAAACGCCUUUCAGCCAUGACGAAGCCCGUGUGGUGACGGUAGUGAAAGAAGAAGCACCGGCUAACUACGUG
rnacentral:rRNA from 1 species